rnacentral:rRNA from 1 species
UACGGAGGAUCCAAGCGUUAUCCGGAUUUAUUGGGUUUAAAGGGUCCGUAGGCGGGCUUUUAAGUCAGUGGUGAAAUCCCGGAGCUCAACUCCGGAACUGCCAUUGAUACUGAAGGCCUUGAAUUUAGUUGAGGUGGGCGGAAUACGUUAUGUAGCGGUGAAAUGCAUAGAUAUAACGUAGAACACCGAUUGCGAAGGCA